CUACGGGGGGCAGCAGUGAGGAAUAUUACACAAUGGGGGGAACCCUGAUGCAGCAACGCCGCGUGGAGGAUGACGCAUUUCGGUGUGUAAACUCCUUUUAUAUGUCAAGAAAAUGACGGUAGCAUAUGAAUAAGCACCGGCUAACUCCGUGCCAGCAGCCGCGGUAAUACGGAGGGUGCAAGCGUUACUCGGAAUCACUGGGCGUAAAGGACGCGUAGGCGGGUUGGAAAGUCAGGUGUGAAAUCCUACAGCUUAACUGUAGAACUGCACUUGAAACUUCUAAUCUAGAGUAUGGGAGGGGGAGAUGGAAUUAGUGGUGUAGGGGUAAAAUCCGUAGAUAUCACUAGGAAUACCUAAAGCGAAGGCGACCUCCUGGAACAUUACUGACGCUAAGGCGUGAAAGCGUGGGGAGCAAACAGGAUUAGAUACCCCUGUAGUC
rnacentral:rRNA from 1 species